AAAGCCAAAAUCAUGUCAUUUGUACUUAUACUGACAUUGCUCUGUUUUCCCAAAACAACAGAAGCUGCAGAAGCAUUUUCCGGCAAAGUGAUUUGAUUAUCCUGUUUCUGAACCAGGUCCCCCUCCUCACCGUCCCCCACUCGGACCUCCCAGCAUGCCCCAGAAGUGGCAGGGUGGCCCCAUUGUCAGCUUUACGGCCCACCUGGCCCGGCCUACAGGGUGCUCGACUGAGCUGCAGGCGGCACGCACACGGAGGAAUUCUCAUCAGAGGUAAGUUUCAUUGUUUCUUUUUUCAGGGUUCCUGUUUCACCAUUAUGUGUUGCAGCUAUAGGGCAAGACUGCCUGGGGGUAGCAGGCCUACUAAUGGGGCCCUGUUGGCCCGCAACUACCUGGGCAUAGGUAGGUACAGUCAGAGGCGGAGCAUCCAUAUCAGUCAUCUCAACUGGACUCAUAUGCAUCUGGGGACACAAGGUAGGUGAAGUAGUGCCAGGCGUCCUAGAAUGUGGUGUUGUAGUCUGGGGUGUAAGCAAUUCCAUCACUCUUUCACAGAUCAUUCUAUUAAACUUAUGUUUGUAGCGGGCCUUGGCCCAAACUAUUGCCAUAUUGAAGGCCUCCUGAUCAAAAGGGCCCAAUGACUGAGUGAUUGAGGCAAUCACUCCGUCGUAGUGCAUUUGUAAUAUUGUCAUGUUAGUGUCCAUCCAUCUCAAAGUGUUCUCCUUCACUUUGUUUUUAGUUUGCUCAGAAGGAGAGGAUGGCUUUAUGAAAACUGUUAAUUUAUUCACUUGCCUCAUCAUACCUUUGGGAAAUGUUUUGGACUCCACUGCCUGAUUUACUAUUUGAAUGUGAUGGAUUGCUUGCAUGAGUUUGAAAUAUUCCUUUGUUGUUUGUUUGUUAAGCCUUGGAGGAACAGAAGGUGCAAGGGAGGGGAGAGAGGGAGGGGGAAGGUUCUCCUGUACAGCCUCAACAGUGUCUUCAUUCUGAAUAUUGGCCAAAGCCAUGUAUCUAUUCUUUAACAACAUUCCAAAUUUUAAUCUGAACAGUUACAGGCCUAAACACCACUGUGAUAAGAAACAGGUUUUCCCCUUUCAGGGCUCUCACCCUUCCUUUCUCCUUUCGGCUGGUGGGUACGAGAAGAAGGUUCUCUUGGCGUGCGGUCCCAGGAUGGCUUUGUGUUACUUCCGUCCGUGGCAUAAAGUUCAAGAGAGAAACCACAAGAUGGUUACCAGGGAGUGAGCAAUGCUCAGUUUAAAGUUCUCCUGCCCAGAACGGGAUCCACUGCCCCUGGGGGAAUCCAACAGGCCCCGGCCUUCAGGUCUCC